UCCCUGGUGGUCCAGUGGUUAGGACUCCGCAUUUCCACUGCAGGGGUCUCAGGUUUGAUGCCUGGCUGGGGAA